UGGGGAAUUUUGCACAAUGGGGGAAACCCUGAUGCAGCGAUGCCGCGUGAUUUAGAAGGCCUUCGGGUUGUAAAAAUCUUUUCUAUGGGAAGAAACUGACAGUACCAUAGGAAUAAGGACCGGCUAAUUACGUGCCAGCAGCCGCGGUAAUACGUAAGGUCCGAGCGUUGUCCGGAAUCAUUUGGCGUAAAGGGUACGUAGGCGGGUAAGCAAGUUAGAAGUGAAAUCCUAUAGCUCAACUAUAGUAAGCUUUUAAAACUGCUCAUCUUGAGGUAUGGAAGGGAAAGUGGAAUUCCUAGUGUAGCGGUGAAAUGCGCAGAUAUUAGGAGGAAUACCGGUGGCGAAGGCGACUUUCUGGCCAUAACCUGACGCUGAGGUACGAAAGCGUGGGUAGCAAACAG
rnacentral:rRNA from 1 species